GAUGAACGCUGGCGGCGUGCCUAAUACAUGCCAGUCGAGCGCACAGACGAGGAGCUUGCUCCUCUGACGUUAGCGGCGGACGGGUGAGUAACACGUGGAUAACCUACCUAUAAGACUGGGAUAACUUCGGGAAACCGGAGCUAAUACCGGAUAAUAUAUUGAACCGCAUGGUUCAAUAGUGAAAGACGGUUUUGCUGUCACUUAUAGAUGGAUCCGCGCCGCAUUAGCUAGUUGGUAAGGUAACGGCUUACCAAGGCAACGAUGCGUAGCCGACCUGAGAGGGUGAUCGGCCACACUGGAACUGAGACACGGUCCAGACUCCUACGGGAGGCAGCAGUAGGGAAUCUUCCGCAAUGGGCGAAAGCCUGACGGAGCAACGCCGCGUGAGUGAUGAAGGUCUUCGGAUCGUAAAACUCUGUUAUUAGGGAAGAACAAAUGUGUAAGUAACUAUGCACGUCUUGACGGUACCUAAUCAGAAAGCCACGGCUAACUACGUG
rnacentral:rRNA from 1 species